CAGAUCUGGAUGUUGGUGCUGGAUCCUCAAGCCAGGGCUUGUCACAGUAUGUGAGAGUUGGUGUGGGGAGCCCAGAGGAAUCCAGCACCGACACAGAGCUGCCUUUGCAGUGUUCUGAGAUUGAUUUAACAUGUGGGACGGAGGAG